GACGAACGCUGGCGGCGUGCUUAACACAUGCAAGUCGAACGAAGUGGCGAACGGGUGAGUAACGCGUAAUCAACCUGCCCUUCAGAGGGGGACAACAGUUGGAAACGACUGCUAAUACCGCAUACUUAAGGAGGGGAUUGCGUCUGAUUAGCUAGUUGGAGGGUGAACGGCCCACCAAGGCGAUGAUCAGUAGCCGGUCUGGUGGGAUGGACGGCCACAUUGGGACGGGGACACGGCCCAGACUGCUACGGGAGGCAGCAGGGGGGAGUCUUCCGCAAUGGACGAAAGUCUGACGGAGAAACGCCGCGUGAGUGAGGACGGCCGUCGGGUUGUAAAGCUCUGUUAAUCGGGACGCGGUACCGGAAUAGAAAGCCACGGCUAACUACGUGCCAGCAGCCGCGGUAAUUC
rnacentral:rRNA from 1 species